UACGGGGGGGGCAAGCGUUGUCCGGAAUCAUUGGGCGUAAAGAGCGUGUAGGCGGUCUGGUAGGUCCGUUGUGAAAACUCGAGGCUCAACCUCGAGACGCCGAUGGAAACCCUCAGACUAGAGUCCGGAAGAGGAGAGUGGAAUUCCUGGUGUAGCGGUGAAAUGCGCAGAUAUCAGGAAGAACACCCGUGGCUAAGGCGGCUCUCUAGUACGGUACUGACGCUGAGACGCGAAAGCGUGGGGAGCGAACAGG
rnacentral:rRNA from 1 species